UGGAGCUGAAGUCAGUCGAAGAUACCAGCUGGCUGCAACUGUUUAUUAAAAACACAGCACUGUGCAAACACGAAAGUGGACGUAUACGGUGUGACGCCUGCCCGGUGCCGGAAGGUUAAUUGAUGGGGUCAGCGCAAGCGAAGCUCCUGAUCGAAGCCCCGGUAAACGGCGGCCGUAACUAUAACGGUCCUAAGGUAGCGAAAUUCCUUGUCGGGUAAGUUCCGACCUGCACGAAUGGCGUAAUGAUGGCCAGGCUGUCUCCACCCGAGACUCAGUGAAAUUGAACUCGCUGUGAAGAUGCAGUGUACCCGCGGCAAGACGGAAAGACCCCGUGAACCUUUACUAUAGCUUGACACUGAACAUUGAGCCUUGAUGUGUAGGAUAGGUGGGAGGCUUUGAAGUGUGGACGCCAGUCUGCAUGGAGCCGACCUUGAAAUACCACCCUUUAAUGUUUGAUGUUCUAACGUGGACCCGUGAUCCGGGUUGCGGACAGUGUCUGGUGGGUAGUUUGACUGGGGCGGUCUCCUCCUAAAGAGUAACGGAGGAGCACGAAGGUUGGCUAAUCCUGGUCGGACAUCAGGAGGUUAGUGCAAUGGCAUAAGCCAGCUUGACUGCGAGCGUGACGGCGCGAGCAGGUGCGAAAGCAGGUCAUAGUGAUCCGGUGGUUCUGAAUGGAAGGGCCAUCGCUCAACGGAUAAAAGGUACUCCGGGGAUAACAGGCUGAUACCGCCCAAGAGUUCAUAUCGACGGCGGUGUUUGGCACCUCGAUGUCGGCUCAUCACAUCCUGGGGCUGAAGUAGGUCCCAAGGGUAUGGCUGUUCGCCAUUUAAAGUGGUACGCGAGCUGGGUUUAGAACGUCGUGAGACAGUUCGGUCCCUAUCUGCCGUGGGCGCUGGAGAACUGAGGGGGGCUGCUCCUAGUACGAGAGGACCGGAGUGGACGCAUCACUGGUGUUCGGGUUGUCAUGCCAAUGGCACUGCCCGGUAGCUAAAUGCGGAAGAGAUAAGUGCUGAAAGCAUCUAAGCACGAAACUUGCCCCGAGAUGAGUUCUCCCUGAGACUUUAGGUCUCCUGAAGGAACGUUGAAGACGACGACGUUGAUAGGCCGGGUGUGUAAGCGCAGCGAUGCGUUGAGCUAACCGGUACUAAUGAACCGUGAGGCUUAACCUUACAA
rnacentral:rRNA from 2 species